AACGAACGCUGGCGGCAGGCCUAACACAUGCAAGUCGAGCGAGACCUUCGGGUUUAGCGGCGGACGGGUGAGUAACGCGUGGGAAUAUGCCCUUCGGUUCGGAAUAGCCCCGGGAAACUGGGAGUAAUACCGGAUACGGUCUACGGACGAAAGAUUUAUCGCCGAAGGAUUAGCCCGCGUUGGAUUAGGUAGUUGGUGGGGGUAAUGGCCUACCAAGCCGACGAUCCAUAGCUGGUUUGAGAGGAUGAUCAGCCACACUGGGACUGAGACACGGCCCAGACUCCUACGGGAGGCAGCAGUGGGGAAUAUUGGGCAAUGGAGGAAACUCUGACCCAGCGACGCCGCGUGCGGGAUGAAGGCCUUCGGGUUGUAAACCGCUUUCAGCAGGGAGAAGCG
rnacentral:rRNA from 1 species